UACGUGGGGGGCAAGCGUUAUUCGGAAUCUCUGGGCGUAAAGCGCGCGCAGGCUGCCGUUUAAGUCAGAUGUGAAAGCCCGGGGCUCAACCCCGGAAGUGCAUUUGAUACUAUUCGGCUUGAGUAUGGGAGAGGGAAGUGGAAUUCCUGGUGUAGAGGUGAAAUUCGUAGAUAUCAGGAGGAACACCGGUGGCGAAAGCGACUUCCUGGACCAAUACUGACGCUGAGGCGAGAAGGCGUGGGGAGCAAACAGG
rnacentral:rRNA from 1 species